GACUUCAUGAAGUUGGAAUCGCUAGUAAUCGUAGAUCAGCAUGCUACGGUGAAUACGUUCCCGGGCCUUGUACACACCGCCCGUCACACCACGAAAGUUGGUUGCACCAGAAGCCGGUAACCCAACCCGCAAGGGAGGGGGCCGUUUAAGGUGUGAUUGAUGAUUGGGGUGAAGUCGUAACAAGGUAGCCGUAGGGGAACCUGCGGCUGGAUCACCUCCUUU
rnacentral:rRNA from 1 species